rnacentral:lncRNA from 1 species
CACUGACUUAUGCCCCAUCCACAUCUCAUAUCGUAUUCUACUUACAGAUUUACUCAGAAUCAUGUUAAGUACAUAGCAAGCGGACUCGAGUGCAUAUCUCUAAAAGAAGAUCAGCAGAUUAGAAAAAUCCAUCAUAGAUGGAACCAUGUCUAACAGGAUUUGAUUUCUCCUUUUCGAUGCAGCAUUACGCUGUGGCGUUCUAAGAGGUGUCCACUAUAAGAGAAUCUCAUUGUCUUCUAGACAUCAAAAAUUUAUCAAAAUGGUAUUUACCUUCUCGA